AGAGUUUGAUCAUGGCUCAGGACGAACGCUGGCGGCGUGCUUAACACAUGCAAGUCGAACGAGAAGAGAUGAGAAGCUUGCUUCUUAUUGAUUCGAGUGGCAAACGGGUGAGUAACGCGUAAGCAACCUGCCCUUCAGAUGGGGACAACAGCUGGAAACGGCUGCUAAUACCGAAUACGUUCUUUUUGUCGCAUGGCAGAGGGAAGAAAGGGAGGCUCUUCGGAGCUUUCGCUGAAGGAGGGGCUUGCGUCUGAUUAGCUAGUUGGAGGGGUAACGGCCCACCAAGGCGACGAUCAGUAGCCGGUCUGAGAGGAUGAACGGCCACAUUGGGACUGAGACACGGCCCAGACUCCUACGGGAGGCAGCAGUGGGGAAUCUUCCGCAAUGGACGAAAGUCUGACGGAGCAACGCCGCGUGAACGAUGACGGCCUUCGGGUUGUAAAGUUCUGUUAUACGGGACGAAUGGCGUAGCGGUCAAUACCCGUUACGAGUGACGGUACCGUAAGAGAAAGCCACGGCUAACUACGUGCCAGCAGCCGCGGUAAUACGUA
rnacentral:rRNA from 1 species